rnacentral:rRNA from 1 species
UAUACCCGUUAAGGCAUGAUUACCUGUACCCGAAACCGACACAGGUGGGGUGGUAGAGAAUACCGAGGGGCGCGAGGUAACUCUCUCUAAGGAACUCGGCAAAAUGACCCCGUAACUUCGGGAGAAGGGGUGCCAGCGCGAGCUGGUCGCAGUGGAUAGGCCCAGGCGACUGUUUACCAAAAACACAGGUCUCCGCUAAGUCGCAAGACGAUGUAUGGGGGCUGACGCCUGCCCAGUGCCGGAAGGUUAAAGAAGUUGGUCAGCGCAAGCGAAGCUAACGACUGAAGCCCCGGUGAACGGCGGCCGUAACCAUAACGGUCCUAAGGUAGCGAAAUUCCUUGUCGGGUAAGUUCCGACCCGCACGAAAGGCGUAACGAUCUGGGCGCUGUCUCGGAGAGAGGCUCGGCGAAAUAGAAUUGUCUGUGAAGAUGCGGACUACGUGCACCCGGACAGAAAGACCCUAUGAAGCUUUACUGUAGCUUGGUAUUGUGCUCGGGCUCGCAAUGCGCAGGAUAGGCGGGAGGCUUUGAUCCAUUGCUUGUGGGUGAUGGUGAGCCACUGGUGAGAUACCACUCUUUGCGAGCUAGGGUUCUAACGGUUACCCGUUAUCCGGGAACCGGACAGUAUCUGGUGGGCAGUUUGACUGGGGCGGUCGCCUCCUAAAAGGUAACGGAGGCGCGCAAAGGUUCCCUCAGGCUGGUUGGAAAUCAGCCGACGAGUGCAAAAGCAGAAGGGAGCUUGACUGUGAGACCUACAAGUCGAACAGGUACGAAAGUAGGCUUUAGUGAUCCGACGGUUCUGAGUGGAAGGGCCGUCGCUCAACGGAUAAAAGUUACUCUAAGGAUAACAGGCUGAUCUCCCCCAAGAGUUCACAUCGACGGGGAGGUUUGGCAUCUCGAUGUCGGCUCAUCGCAACCUGGGGCUGAAGUCGGUCCCAAGGGUUGGGCUGUUCGCCCAUUAAAGCGGUACGCGAGCUGGGUUCAGAACGUCGUGAGACAGUUCGGUCCAUAUCCGGUGCAUGCGCAGGAAUAUUGAGAGGAUUUCUCCCUAGUACGAGAGGACCGGGAGGAACGCACCUCUGGUGUACCAGUUAUCGUGCCAACGGUAAACGCUGGGUAGCCAUGUGCGGAGUGGAUAACCGCUGAAAGCAUCUAAGUGGGAAGCCCACCUCAAUAUGAGUAUUCCCAUGGCUUAAGCCAGUAAGGUCACGGGCAGAACACCCGUUGAUAGGCUCUAUGUGGAAGCGCAGUAAUGCGUGAAGCAGAGGAGUACUAAUAGACCGAGGGCUUGACC